CCUACGGGGGGCUGCAGUGGGGAAUAUUGGACAAUGGGCGAAAGCCUGAUCCAGCCAUGCCGCGUGUGUGAAGAAGGCCUUCGGGUUGUAAAGCACUUUCAGUGGGGAAGAAAGCCUUGGGGCUAAUACCCUCGAGGAAGGACAUCACCCACAGAAGAAGCACCGACUAACUCCGUGCCAGCAGCCGCGGUAAUACGGAGGGUGCGAGCGUUAAUCGGAAUUACUGGGCGUAAAGCGCGCGUAGGCGGUCUGAUAAGCCGGUUGUGAAAGCCCCGGGCUCAACCUGGGAACGGCAUCCGGAACUGUCAGGCUAGAGUGCAGGAGAGGAAGGUAGAAUUCCCGGUGUAGCGGUGAAAUGCGUAGAGAUCGGGAGGAAUACCAGUGGCGAAGGCGGCCUUCUGGACUGACACUGACGCUGAGGUGCGAAAGCGUGGGUAGCAAACAGGAUUAGAUACCCUGGUAGUC
rnacentral:rRNA from 1 species